rnacentral:rRNA from 1 species
UAGUUGGUGAGGUAAUAGCUCACCAAGGCUAUGACAGGUAGCGGGUCUGAGAGGAUGAUCCGCCACACUGGUACUGAGACACGGACCAGACUCCUACGGGAGGCAGCAGUGAGGAAUAUUGCACAAUGGAGGAAACUCUGAUGCAGCAACGCCGCGUGGAGGAUGACGCAUCUCGGUGUGUAAACUCCUUUUAUGAGUCAAGAAAAUGACGGUAGCUCAUGAAUAAGCACCGGCUAACUCCGUGCCAGCAGCCGCGGUAAUACGGGGGGUGCAAGCGUUACUCGGAAUCACUGGGCGUAAAGGACGCGUAGGCGGUCUAGCAAGUCAGGUGUGAAAGCCUAUGGCUCAACCAUAGAAUUGCACUUGAAACUGUUAGACUAGAGUAUGGGAGGGGCAGAUGGAAUUAGUGGUGUAGGGGUAAAAUCCGUAGAUAUCACUAGGAAUACCAAAAGCGAAGGCGAUCUGCUGGAACAUUACUGACGCUAAGGCGUGAAAGCGUGGGGAGCAAACAGGAUUAGAUACCCUGGUAGUCCACGCCCUAAACGAUGAACACUAGUCGUCGGAAGGCUUGUCCUUUCGGUGAUGCACUUAACAGAUUAAG